AUGCUCUCUUCCCAAGUCAUCGAGAAACUUGUUUCCCUUGAGAAAGCAGGUGGGUCUUUCAGCGGGUCAGUGUCAAGAUAUAUCCACGGAUUGAACAUGUGCGAGAAUAUCCAGUCUGCUGAGAGAGCAGUGAUGAAGCAGCAUAUUUUGAGGAAAGUGAGAUCGGCGGUGAGAGGGCAUGAUCUGGAGACGAGUCUAAUUGCUUCUGUGGAGGUCUGCGUUUCUGAAGGCACAAAAGGAGCCAGCAGUAGCAGGAGAAACAAGUAG
rnacentral:rRNA from 1 species